UGGGUACUAUAUUUAAUAAUGAGCUAUCACAAUCUGCUGGUGGAACACUUCCAAGUCUAUCGUCACAAAUAAAAAAUUCAGAUAUUGAACCAGCAUCUUUUUUGCCAAAACAAACACCGAUAUGUACUACAUUUAAUAACGAAAAAUCACAAUCUGCUGGUAGAACACUGAUAGGUUAUCCAAGUCUAUCAUUACAAUCAACAAAUUCAGAUUCGGAACCAGCAUUUUUUUUGCCAAAACAAACACCGUUGCGUACUACAUUUCAUAAUGAGCAAUCACAAUCUACUGGUGGAACACUGAUUGGUUAUCCAAGUUUAGCAUCACAAUCAAAAAAUUCAGAUAUUGAACCAGCAACAUUUUUUUUGAAAAGAAACACCGUUAGAUACUUUAUUCAAUAAUGCGCAAUCACAAUCUGCUGGUUCAACACCAAUUAGAUGUCCAAGUCUAUCAUCAAAAUCAAAAAAUUUAGAUCUAGAACCAGCAACAUUUUUGUC